AAAGAAUUUAAAGAUUCGCUGUUUCUUACUUGUUCAGGAAUGCUAUUCCAGAUUUUAACCCCACUAUAUCGAAAACAUUUUCUGCCAUACUCUGUAUUUGGUCGUGGCAGAAAGAGAGACGCAUUUGAACCUCGUAAAUUAUAACUGUGGAUAUGGUUAGAAUUCUGGAACAUUGAUGAGAACCUCGAUGGUGCCAAAUUAUUGACAACCUUAAACAUGAGACGGGCCAUAAUAUGUUUUCGCCUUUCUUCCAAGCUUAUCCACCCUAAUUGAUCGAGGGCCAGUUGAGAUUGCCCAGGCUCAUCUUUAAAGUUCAUUAUAAUUCUAGCACAUCUGUUGUGAAGUUUUUGUAGUCGUUCAGACUGGCCUCUAUUAAUGGAAUUCCAAACUUCACAACAGUAGUCGAAAUGGGGUUGGACAAGAC
rnacentral:lncRNA from 1 species